GUCCUCGUAGCUCAAUUGGAUAGAGCGUUGGCCUCCGAAGCCGAAGGUUACAAGUUCGACUCUUGUCGAGGACA
rnacentral:tRNA from 4 species